GGAUGGGGUCGCAGACGCUGCAGAUCCUCCGGCAGGGGGUGUGGGCCACGCUCAGCGGGGGCUGGUAUUACGACCCGCACCAGGCCACCUUCGUGAACGCGCUGCACCUCUACCUGUGGCUCUUUCUGCUUGGCCUGCCCUUCACCCUCUACAUGGCCCUUCCUUCUUCCAUGAUUAUAGUAGCAGUUUAUUGUCCUGUGGUAGCUGCUGUUUUCAUUGUUCUGAAGAUGGUCAACUAUCGACUACACAGAGCACUUGAUGCUGGAGAAGUCGUAGAUAGGAGCACAAAUGAAUUUACAGAUCAGCGAGCCAAAGCUGAACAAGGCAACUGUUCAACCAGGAGAAAAGACAGCAAUGGACCAAGGUAAGGAAAGCUCUGUCACUCAUUUUGUAACAAUAUAGAUUGUGGUGUGUGUAUAAAGGUAUGAUUAUUGGGUUGUACCUAUUCUCUUUAUAUCAUUUUAAGACAACAUUAGAUCUUAGGACCAUAGGUACAAUGACAAGUACAGAUUUAUAAUAUUAGAACAGAGCAAAGCUAACUGUCAUGCUUCGGGGAGUAAGUUGAUAUCCUUGGCCUCGUUAUUAAACAAGUUAGAACAAUAUGCUAUUGUAUAAUAGUUACACAAAAAACCAAAACCUAGCCUAAAGAAAUAAUUAAGUAUGGCUUAUAAAUCUCAGCAUUUAAAAAAUUUACACAUAUAAAGU
rnacentral:lncRNA from 1 species